UACGAAGGGGGCUAGCGUUGCUCGGAAUCACUUGGGCGUAAAGCGCACGUAGGCGGACUCUUAAGUCGGUGGUGAAAUCCUGGAGCUCAACUCCAGAACUGCCUUUGAUACUGGAGAGCUUGAGUCCGGGAGAGGUGAGUGGAACUCCGAGUGUAGAGGUGAAAUUCGUAGAUAUUCGGAAGAACACCGGUGGCGAAGGCGGCAUCCUGGACCGACAGUUGACGCUGAGGCGCGAAAGCCAGGGGAGCAAACGGG
rnacentral:rRNA from 1 species